UGGGGAAUUUUGGACAAUGGGGGAAACCCUGAUCCAGCCAUCCCGCGUGUGCGAUGAAGGCCUUCGGGUUGUAAAGCACUUUUGGCAGGAAAGAAACGUCAUGGGUUAAUACCCCGUGAAACUGACGGUACCUGCAGAAUAAGCACCGGCUAACUACGUGCCAGCAGCCGCGGUAAUACGUAGGGUGCAAGCGUUAAUCGGAAUUACUGGGCGUAAAGCGUGCGCAGGCGGUUCGGAAAGAAAGAUGUGAAAUCCCAGAGCUCAACGUUGGAACUGCAUUUGUAACUACCGGGCUAGAGUGUGUCAGAGGGAGGUGGAAUUCCGCGUGUAGCAGUGAAAUGCGUAGAUAUGCGGAGGAACACCGAUGGCGAAGGCAGCCUCCUGGGAUAACACUGACGCUCAUGCACGAAAGCGUGGGGAGCAAACAGG
rnacentral:rRNA from 1 species